rnacentral:lncRNA from 10 species
GACCAGUCCAGAGGACUCUAAGGAAGUAGUUCUGCCUGGGGCAGUUGUACUGUGGCCCAGCCGCCCCAGUCGUGUCCCAUGGCUGUCCACUUUCCUCCCCGUGUCACAGGUGGGCUGGCCAGGUGAGAGCUGCUGGCAGGUGGGCCUGGCUGUGGAGGAUAGCCCAGCUCUGGGAGCACCGCGGGUGGGAGCCCUCCCUGACGUGGUGCCGGAGGGGACACUACUCAACAUGGUGUUGAGAAGGAUGCACCGGCCCCGAAGCUGCUCCUACCAGCUGCUGCUGGAGCACCAGCGUCCGAGCUGCAUCCAGGGGCUGCGCUGGGGCACAGGCUAGCAACAUCUCAGAGAAGAAAGACGCUUUCCAGCAAGCAGCCCCACCCUAAUGCCUCACAGAUGAGUACUAGCUAACAUGUGCAUACAACUAUAUGCCAGGCAAUGCUUUAAACAUUCGAUGUGUAGCAACUCAUUUAAUUCUCCCAAAACCUCAUGAGUCGGUAUUAUUAGUGCUUUGUAGAUUUUACAGUUCAGGAGACUCAGGUAGGGAGGGAGAGGUUAAAUCAUUUGUUUCAGGUC